CGAUUUGUAGAACAUGUGAAGAAGCACAUCGACUUGAAGCUUUGGUGGCCCAAUAAAACACUCCAAUAAAACUAGAGUUACCAUGGUGAAUAUUGUAAAUCUAAAGGAAUAAAAUUGUAUAGAGUUUAAAUCCCUUAGAACUCUCAACUUGUAGAUAGGCUUUGAUUUCGACCGUCAAUAGAAUUUAAAUUGUACUGGUGGAUUUGGGGAGCUCAACUAUAAAUAAAUGUCAAACUCUAACACUUGGUGUGUGUUGCCUUUCUGUUCGCUUGUAGCUUCUUUUCUAUUCAAGUUUGCUUCCACUUUAUCUCGACGCCUUAAAACAUUUUUUACGAACUCUCAUUUUUCGACAAUAAGAUUGACUUGUACAAAUUUAAAGCUAAAUGUCUAUUUAAAACAACGCAAUUUAUGAGACUAACCCUUUAGCAAUCAUGAUCCAAGCAGUAUUCCACCAAGAAACAACCAAUGCUAUCAUUUUGCCACGAGGGCAUUAUACAGACAGUGGUAUGAUAAGUUGAAUGCAACUUGAAUUACCAUUAUUAAUUUAAUAAAAAAUAAAAAAUUUAAUUCUUUUUAAAAUAUGACUUUUGGAAAAUGAAUUGUGUAAUAGUCCAUUUUUGCCCGGCCCAUUCAAAAUAAGACCAACCCAAAAUCAUAACAUUGCCCAAAUACCCUUGGCCAAAUACACUAGGCCCUAAACCUAAGCCCAUUACACCAAGAAAACAAAUAGCAGAAACACUAACAGUCAGCAGCAGAUCGACGCCACCAUUGUCCCACGUCGCAGCAACUAUCUCCAUGCACGAACGCACAGCAACUGCCCACGUCGCGCACGCCUCUUCCAGUACCCACCUACAGCAAAAAUCAAAUCACGAACCACAGCACAACGGAUUUUUUUUUUAUUGUUGUUUUGGAGGGUAUAAAAAGGGAUUUGUAAAACCGAUUUAGGGGGUAGGAAAUUUGUAUUACAAAAAACCCAUCGAAAAUACAAAGACAAAAAAGCAAAAAUUUUGUAUGAAAAUUAACUGGAAAAUAAACGAAAAAACAUUUUUGAAGGUGGGAUUUUGUCUUCUUUCUCAGUUUUUUUACUGUUUUUUUUAAUUUACCUUGUUCUUUUCUUUUGCUUCUUUUUUUUUAAAAAAAACAACAAAGAUAAACGAAAAAGGAGAAAGAAAUGAGGACUUACCGUCGUGAGAGUCGUCGGAGGGCGUCCUCGCUUCGUCGAAGUCUGAAACGGCAGAGAGGGGGCUGAGUCUGCUGUUGUGUUUUCAAACAAAAAGAAAAGUGACCUAGUUUUGUUUUAAAACAAGUUUUAAAUGGCUUUUUAUGUAAUAUAUUAAAACAGUGCCGUUUAAUGGCUAUGGAUCUGGG
rnacentral:lncRNA from 1 species